rnacentral:rRNA from 1 species
CCUACGGGAGGCAGCAGUCGGGAAUAUUGGGCAAUGGAGGAAACUCUGACCCAGCAAUUCCGCGUGAAGGAUGAAGGUUUUCGGAUUGUAAACUUCUGUUAUAAAGGAAGAAAAAAAUGACGGUAUUUUAUAAGUAAGCCACGGCAAACUAUGUGUAAGCAUCCGCGGCGAUACAUAGGGGGCAAGGGUUGUCCGGAAUGACUGGGGGUAAAGGGUGUGUAGGUGGCGUAUUAAGUUAGAGGUGAAAGCCCGAAGCUCAACUUGGGAACUGCCUUUAAAACUGGUUGUCUUGAGUGUGGGAGAGGUUAGUGGAACUCCUAGUGUAGCGGUGGAAUGCGUAGAUAUUAGGAAGAACAUCAGAGGCGAAGGCGACUAACUGGAACAUUACUGACACUGAAACACGAAAGCGUGGGGAGCAAACAGGAUUAGAUACCCGGGUAGUC